GGAAGGAGGAGGUAACUUGUGGAAUGCUGAGAAAGAUCUAAAGCAUGUAUUCCUUAUUUGAAAAAGAGUAAAGUUGCUCAUAUCCUCAAUAUCAGUCCACCGCUGAACCUAAAUCCAAUUUGGUUCAAACAGCACUGUGCUUAUACCAUUGCUAAGUAUGGUAUGUCUAUGUAUGUACUUGGAAUGGCAGAAGAAUUUAAAGGUGAAAUUGCAGUCAAUGCAUUAUGGCCUAAAACAGCCAUACACACUGCUGCUAUGGAUAUGCUGGGAGGACCUGGUAUCGAAAGCCAGUGUAGAAAAGUUGAUAUCAUUGCAGAUGCAGCAUAUUCCAUUUUCCAAAAGCCAAAAAGUUUUACUGGCAACUUUGUCAUUGAUGAAGGUAUCUUAAAAGAAGAAGGAAUAGAAAAUUUUGACGUGUAUGCAAUUAAACCAGCUGUCUUCCCAAUGAAGGAAAAAAACCCAUACGAACACAACUUAAAAAAAAAGAUGAAUGAAAAAUAGAGGUCAUCCUUUGCAACCAGAUUUCUUCUUAGAUGAAUACCCAGAAGCAGUUAGCAAGAAAAUGGAAUCAACUG
rnacentral:sRNA from 1 species